rnacentral:tRNA from 1 species
GAUCCGGUGGGCGAAUGGUUAAGCCACCAGACUUUCAAUCUGGUAAUUGCAGGUUCGAAUCCUGUCCGGAUCACCA